rnacentral:rRNA from 1 species
UACGUAGGGAGCAAGCGUUGUCCGGAAUCAUUGGGCGUAAAGCGCGCGUAGGCGGCCUCGUAAGUCCGUUGUGAAAGUCAAAGGCUCAACCUUUGAAAGCCGAUGGAUACUGUGAGGCUAGAGUCCGGAAGAGGCGAGUGGAAUUCCUGGUGUAGCGGUGGAAUGCGCAGAUAUCAGGAGGAACACCAAUAGCGAAGACAGCUCGCUGGGACGGUACUGACGCUAAGGCGCGAAAGCGUGGGGAGCGAACAGG